AGGUGCUGGAUACAAUCUCCAUUUUGGUCGUGCUUGUUUGUUUUCAUAUCUCGACAUAACAAGAUGGUUGUUCUUGCUGCUUCCAUCGUAACCAAGUCUGGGAAAGUACUUGUUUCUAGACAAUUUGUGGACAUGUCUCGCAUAAGAAUAGAAGGUCUUCUUGCAACUUUCCCAAAGUUGAUAGGCACUGGAAAACAACAUACAUAUUUUGAGACAGAAAAUGUUCGCUAUGUUUACCAGCCUAUUGAAGCUUUGUACUUGUUACUUGUUACAAACAAAUAGAGCAAUAUUCUGGAAGAUUUGGAGACACUGCGACUGCUCUCAAAGCUUGUGCCGGAGUAUUCUAUGUCUCUAGAUGAAGAGGGUGUUUGCAUGACUGCUUUUGAGCUGAUUUUUGCUUUUGACGAGGUCAUCUCUCUUGGACACAAGGA